GGUGAAAAGCACCCCGGAAGGGGAGUGAAAUAGAACCUGAAACCGUGUGCUUACAAGUAGUCAGAGCCCGUUAAUGGGUGAUGGCGUGCCUUUUGUAGAAUGAACCGGCGAGUUACGAUUUGAUGCAAGGUUAAGCAGUAAAUGUGGAGCCGUAGCGAAAGCGAGUCUGAAUAGGGCGUUUAGUAUUUGGUCGUAGACCCGAAACCAGGUGAUCUACCCUUGGUCAGGUUGAAGUUCAGGUAACACUGAAUGGAGGACCGAACCGACUUACGUUGAAAAGUGAGCGGAUGAACUGAGGGUAGCGGAGAAAUUCCAAUCGAACCUGGAGAUAGCUGGUUCUCUCCGAAAUAGCUUUAGGGCUAGCCUCAAGUGAUGAUUAUUGGAGGUAGAGCACUGUUUGGACGAGGGGCCCCUCUCGGGUUACCGAAUUCAGACAAACUCCGAAUGCCAAUUAAUUUAACUUGGGAGUCAGAACAUGGGUGAUAAGGUCCGUGUUCGAAAGGGAAACAGCCCAGACCACCAGCUAAGGUCCCAAAAUAUAUGUUAAGUGGAAAAGGAUGUGGCGUUGCCCAGACAACUAGGAUGUUGGCUUAGAAGCAGCCAUCAUUUAAAGAGUGCGUAAUAGCUCACUAGUCGAGUGACACUGCGCCGAAAAUGUACCGGGGCUAAACAUAUUACCGAAGCUGUGGAUUGUCCUUUGGACAAUGGUAGGAGAGCGUUCUAAGGGCGUUGAAGCAUGAUCGUAAGGACAUGUGGAGCGCUUAGAAGUGAGAAUGCCGGUGUGAGUAGCGAAAGACGGGUGAGAAUCCCGUCCACCGAUUGACUAAGGUUUCCAGAGGAAGGCUCGUCCGCUCUGGGUUAGUCGGGUCCUAAGCUGAGGCCGACAGGCGUAGGCGAUGGAUAACAGGUUGAUAUUCCUGUACCACCUAUAAUCGUUUUAAUCGAUGGGGGGACGCAGUAGGAUAGGCGAAGCGUGCGAUUGGAUUGCACGUCUAAGCAGUAA
rnacentral:rRNA from 1 species